rnacentral:rRNA from 1 species
UACGUAGGUGGCUAGCGUUGUCCGGAUUUACUGGGCGUAAAGAGCGCGCAGGCGGUCGUUCAAGUCGAGUGUGAAAGCCCCCGGCUCAACUGGGGAGGGUCACUCGAUACUGAUCGACUUGAAGGCGGGAGAGGGAAGCGGAAUUCCCAGUGUAGAGGUGAAAUUCGUAGAUAUUGGGAAGAACACCAGCGGCGAAGGCGGCUAUCUGGACCACAACUGACGCUGAGGCGCGAAAGCGUGGGGAGCAAACAGG